AUUGAACGCUGGCGGCAUGCUUUACACAUGCAAGUCGAGCGGCAGCGCGGGGGCAACCCUGGCGGCGAGCGGCGAACGGGUGAGUAAUGCAUCGGAACGUGUCCGGGAGUGGGGGAUAACCCGCCGAAAGGCGGGCUAAUACCGCAUAUGCUCUUUGGAGGAAAGGGGGGGACCGCAAGGCCUCCCGCUUUCGGAGCGGCCGAUGUCCGAUUAGCUAGUUGGUGGGGUAAUGGCUUACCAAGGCGACGAUCGGUAGCUGGUCUGAGAGGAUGAUCAGCCACACUGGGACUGAGACACGGCCCAGACUCCUACGGGAGGCAGCAGUGGGGAAUUUUGGACAAUGGGGGCAACCCUGAUCCAGCCAUGCCGCGUGCGGGAAGAAGGCCUUCGGGUUGUAAACCGCUUUUAGCCGGGAAGAAAAGGCAGGGGCUAACACUCUCUGUUCUUGACGGUACCGGCGGAAUAAGCACCGGCUAACUACGUG
rnacentral:rRNA from 1 species